rnacentral:tRNA from 1 species
GCCUGGGUGGCGCAGUCGGUUAAGCGUCCGACUUCAGCCAGGUCAUGAUCUCGCAGUCCGUGAGUUCGAGCCCCACCUCAGGCU